AGAGUUUGAUCCUGGCUCAGGAUGAACGCUAGCGGCAGGCUUAACACAUGCAAGUCGAGGGGUAGAGUAGCAAUACUUGAGACCGGCGCACGGGUGCGUAACGCGUAUGCAAUCUACCUUUCACAAAGGAAUAGCCCAGAGAAAUUUGGAUUAAUGCCUUAUAGUAUAACGAGUUCGCAUGGAUUUGUUAUUAAAGAUUUAUCGGUGAAAGAUGAGCAUGCGUCCCAUUAGCUAGUUGGUAAGGUAACGGCUUACCAAGGCUACGAUGGGUAGGGGUCCUGAGAGGGAGAUCCCCCACACUGGUACUGAGACACGGACCAGACUCCUACGGGAGGCAGCAGUGAGGAAUAUUGGUCAAUGGACGCAAGCCUGAACCAGCCAUGCCGCGUGCAGGAUGACGGUCCUAUGGAUUGUAAACUGCUUUUAUACAGGAAGAAACACUCCCUCGUGAGGGAGCUUGACGGUACUGUAGGAAUAAGGAUCGGCUAACUCCGUGCCAGCAGCCGCGGUAAUACGGAGGAUCCAAGCGUUAUCCGGAAUCAUUGGGUUUAAAGGGUCCGUAGGCGGCUUAAUAAGUCAGUGGUGAAAUCCCUACGCUUAACGUAGGAACGGCCAUUGAUACUGUUAGGCUUGAAUUAUUAGGAAGUAACUAGAAUAUGUAGUGUAGCGGUGAAAUGCUUAGAGAUUACAUGGAAUACCAAUUGCGAAGGCAGGUUACUACUAAUGGAUUGACGCUGAUGGACGAAAGCGUGGGUAGCGAACAGGAUUAGAUACCCUGGUAGUCCACGCCGUAAACGAUGGAUACUAGCUGUUGGGAGCAAUCUCAGUGGCUAAGCGAAAGUGAUAAGUAUCCCACCUGGGGAGUACGUUCGCAAGAAUGAAACUCAAAGGAAUUGACGGGGGCCCGCACAAGCGGUGGAGCAUGUGG
rnacentral:rRNA from 1 species